GCCCGGGGCUGGUUGUAGGGGAUACUGGGUGCUCCAGGGCCAAUUACCCACCCCAGCUGCUCAGAACACCGACUGCUGAUGGCUCACUGGGUUACCCCCGCUGCCAGGGCAGCAGGAACCAGUGCCUGACCCAUGUGAAGGUACCAAGGCCCAGCUCUCUUGCCCCAAUUGGGACAACCUGAAGGACUGUCCCAGCCCCAGGGGUCUCCACAGGGGCCUCGGCUGCAGCCUCAUUGUGGGUCAGCCUCUCCCUCUGCCCAGUCCUGCCUUCCUCCUUCCUUCCAUGGUAUCUCCCCAGGGCAUGCCCUGACAAACCUGUGUGUAACCCUCCAGCUCAGCGAGUUUCUAGGAACUCCGCGUAACGUACCUGUCACAGACAGGGCCCAAUCUCAGCCUCAAAUGGGACCCAGUCCAGGUCACCAGUACUCAGUACCACUUAUGGGCCGAGCCUACAUUCUGCCCCAGUCCGAGCUCCGCUUCUCGUCCCACACUGAGCCCAGGUAUCCCAUGGGAAGCAGAGGAUUGCCGAAGGCAGAAGUAAGGGAUAAUAAAUGGAAGGUUGAAGGAGAUUGGAGCCUGGCGUAGACUGAGAACAGGACCAGAGCAGACCUCCCUGGAGAAGAUGAACCGACAGCCCAGUCAGCCAGGAGGUGGGGGGUCACAGAAUCUCACUUCUCAGAGAGGGCUUUUUCAGAGACAACUGAACAGGAUCUUCUUUAUGGAAAAACCAAAUCUGAACUGAGAAUGGUAAGAAUGAUCCUAAUAGCUGCCAUUUCUCGAGCAAGGAGUGUGUGUCCUGGGCACCGUGCCAUGGGGUCUACAUGGUGGUCUUACUGCCUCCUCAGAACAGCCUCAUGAGGUUCCAUUAUGACCCACUUUACAGAUGAGGAAGCUGAGGCUCAGAGAGCUGAAAUGACUUGCCUUGUGCCUCAGACAUGGCAGAGUCAGCAUUCGAACCCUGGACCAUUCUGUGCUUCUGUGGGAUCUAGGCUCAAGCAGAGACUGGUCUCCCAAAGCAAGAUCCAGAAGGGGCUUCUAGGCCCCAUGGGUCAUCUGAACAAGCUGUUCACCAAGUCCCUGCAAGUGCCCAGGGCUGCAGAGGAGUCAGGAAAAGAGUGGUGGGCAGUCCGCGGGCCCGUGUAAGGUGACCUGGCCCCAGCUUCAGGCAGCCCGCCGUUCUCAGGGCCCUCCAGUUCCCAUUAUUUGAUUCCUACAGCCAUGCACAUAUCCAUCCACCCACGCUUCUGUGCAUUCUUCCAUCCGCAACUGUGCAGUGAGCGUUCUCUGUGGACCAGGUCUGGCCUGGGUGCUUGGGACGGAGCGGGCACAGCCCGCCCUCGUGGAGUGUACAGGCUGGCAGGGGAGCCACAUGUUAAACAAACAGCCCACGGAGCCCGGAUGCAUCACCACCGUGCUAAGUGCUGGGAAGAGCAGCUCAGGAUGUCGUGAGUGGAUGUAACAAGGACGUCUCUCUUGGGAGUGUUCUCUGGGCCCCAGGGAACUAGUGGGCGGGAAACCUGCUGAGACAGCCCCAUGGGCUUGGCCUCAGGGGACAGAAGCUGUGAGAAAAGGGUGAAUAAUGCCCCAGUGGAGCCAACUGGCCCGGUGAGGCUGCAGCCAGCCCACCUUCAGAUGGGGGUUCCUUGGCUGCAGCAGGAGGUAAGUCGGGAGGUAAGUGAGGGUUGGGGGUCUUUUGAAAAUCUCCCUCCAGAUUUCAUUUGUGAGCCUUCCCAGCUGGAGCCUGAAGCCUCCAAGAACUGUAUCAGAGUUUUAGGAAACACAAGAGAAGUUAUUUCAGGAGAAGGGAACAGCAUGAGCAUACGUGUGGAGGUGGGGAUAGUAGACAGACUCAGGAAGGUAGAGCAAGGAGAGAAAAGGGAGGAGAAACUGAGCUGUGGUCCUCAGGGGUUUCAUUAGCACCCUGGGGGCUUGGUCCCCACCCUAUACCAGUAGUAGUGAUUACUGUGGAAAGCUGUGUGCCCCAAGAAGGUCAUGUGUGACCCCCACUUCGUCCUCACCAGAUCCAGUAAGAUUUUUACAGCUGGACCCCAUUUUACAGACAGCAAAACCAAAGCCAGGGGAGGUUAACUGUGUCACCCAAGAGCACAGAGUUAGCAAGUAAAGGGUCAGGAUUCAAUCCCAGCCCGUGAUCUUUUUUUUUUUUUUUCAAAUCCCAGCCCAUAUUCUUAACAACUCCCCUAGUGUGCUCAGCAAACAGUGGGAGGAAAUCCGGAUAUAUGAUGGGCAGCGCCCAUGCUCACCCCACUGUGGUCUUGUCUGGCCCUCCCACUAAACAGAGUUUAUUUACCUCUGUCACCGCACGACACUGCACCCACAACUGGUGCUUAGAAAAUAUCGUGAAUAAAUAACCAUCCUAAGUGUUCACCAUGUGCCACAUCAGCACAGCCCUACGAGGUUGAUACGAUUAUUAGCCCCAUUUCACAGGUGGGGAAACUGAGACUCGGCUAGUAGGGGGUAAGGCCGUGAUUCACUAAGCAGCAGGUAAAUAAAUCAGCAAACUCGUUGAUAAGCGUGAGUAACGACCAGUGAAUGGAUAAGAGCAAAGGUAAAUAAGUAAGUAAGGAGUUCAAGGAGGGACAGAGGGAGCCAAGGUGAGAUGUAGGUCUCAGUGGUGUGCAGGAGAGGUGAAGGCCAUUACACCUGUCCCACCUCUGGCUCCCAGGAAAAGGGCUUUUUCUGCUCCCAGGAUGGCCUGGGGUCUUUCCAGGCUGUUGCCUAGCAACAAUGCCCUCACCCCGGCCCCUCCCCCUUUGACUGGCCAGAGCUGGGGCACAAGCAGCCAGCCCCAAGGCCCCCAUGGCAAUGGGGACCCUGGGCUCUCAGGCUGGGGGCACGAAGGCCAGGGCCAGAGAGGUGGGCCUGGCUGGGCUCCAAGGCUGAGAGAAAUGCCCCAAGACCUCCCCGAGGGAAGGGCUGCUUCCAUUUAUUCUGCAGACUGUCCAUCUGGCGCUGGGUUCAUAGCUGCCCAGAGCAGUGACCUGGGGCCCUGAGUUCAAAGCCCUGGGCUGGAGAUCUUGUAUGAGUCACUUCCCUUCCUGAAUCCAUUUCCUCGUCUGUAGAAUGGGGACACGGUGCCCACUCGUCGGGGAGACAGUGUGGGAACAGAGCGGGGCCAGGCAAGCCUUCACGCCAGGAGUAUGCCGGCCACUUCUAGAGGAGAAAGAUCUGGGGCGAAGACCUGUCAACAGCCCCCUCCAAGAGAGGAUAGCGUGCCCUGCGUGGGAGUGGAGUCCUCGAGGGCUCCCUGAGGAGGUGGGCCUGUGGGACCUCCCUCAGUGGGGAUGGCAGAGGAAGCAAACAUCCUUUCUAAGGCCCUGAGGCCAGAGACGGGAGCCCACCCAGUAGCAGUGACUAUUUGCCCAUGGCCAGGCACAUUUACGUUUAGUCCUUACUGCAGCUCCAGAGUUUGGAAGCUGUGCCCCCGGCUCAGAAAGGUAAAGAGACUUGCUCUGGGUCACACAGCUGGUGAGCCGAGUGGCAGUGAAGUCCACCUCCCUUUCCCCUGCUCAGACGGGUGGAGCCGAGAGCAAGUGGCAAGACAAUGCCACCGUGGAGUCCUGAGGGGCCCCUCCCGGCCCCGUGAGGGAGUCUGGACUUUGUGCAGAGGGCAGUGGGGAGCCACUGAUGGUUUCUGAGCUGGGAGAGAAAUGACCCAGGCUGGGUCCUCAGGUCCCUAGGUGCUGUCCUGGGCCAUCUGUCUCCACCUCCCACCCCUGCCACCCUCUGCAUCCACCCACCCCCCCGCUUCUCAACCACACCGAGAAGCCAUGUGUGACGGAGGAGAAUGUAAAAAUAUAUGUGUAACUGAACAACAACGUGCUGACAGAACACAGCUAUAAAUACUCUGACGGUGCAGCACCAUUCCGCGGAUCCUGCUUCCUGCUGCCUGAGGAGUGGGGGCACGGGGUUCGACAGGUGGGGUGGGAACUCGGAAGGGAAAGGAAAGGGGACGGCCGCUUGUGGCCCCACUUUGUGCCAAAAGCUUCACGAGUAGCACGUCUCUGAUUCUUCCUCCAAACCCCAAAACCCCCUCAGAGAAUCACUACUGUCGUCCCCAGUUUACAGGUGAGGAAACUCAAAUUCAGAGAGGGAGGUCGUCUGGUCAAGGUCACACAGCGAGGAGGCAGUGGAGCUGGGAUUCCCGCAAGCCCUGCCACGGGCCAGCCCCAGCCGUCCAAGGAACAGCAAGCGGGCUUCAGGCUCUGCUUCGCUCACUCCCCGUCCGGGGCCAGAGAGAGCUUUAGGCUUCCAGGCACUCCCCUGCUCCCAUGCCUUCCAUGGCUCCCCAGUGCCCUCUAGAUAAACACCAAACUCAGUGAGGCCCUUAAGAUCCUGUGCUCUGGCCUCUGACCAUCUCUGGAGCCCACCUCCCGCCACGUCCUGCUCUCUGUGCCACAGAGAUCUGUGCCUCCGUACCUCCCGUUCCCUUUGCCAGGCAUGCUGUCCCUCUACCUAGGGGCUUCAGCUCAAGUGCCACCUCCCCCCGACGUCCCACCACAGCUGAGGCCCUCCCGUGCUUUCCCUGCGAUUUGUGAAGCCCCAUUGUGACCCGGUGGGUCGUUAGGGGUGGCGGCCACAGCCGGUGAGGGCGGAGACGGGGCAAGCUGCAGGCAGCGCGGCCGCAGGGCGGGUGCCCCCAAGUGCUCGGCCCCUCAGGAGGUGCCAUGUCACAUAAAUGCCCCUCUCUGAUGCACGGGCGGGGCCGGGCAAUGACUGCACCAGGUGAAGUGGCCUUCGGUCUGUCAGAGACAGUCUGGGGUGGCGUGAGACAGACAUGGAAGGGAGCUGGCCUCUGGGCUCCGGGGUGAGCAGGAAAGGAAAUGGAGGAGGAAGAGAGGCAAGGGGGCUCCCGGGGCCCCUGCAGAGGCCACUGGAUACCCACUGAGAAGUCUUGGGAGUAAGUUGGCCCCGUCUCUCGGACCCUCACUGUGUCCGGACCAGCCUUCCACACGCGGUCUGAACCUGUCUGCACCUCUGGCCAGCGUGGGGGCAAAGCCCCAUCUCCUUAUGGUCCCUGGACUGCAUGAUGUUGGCCCCAGAGUGGAAGCUCCUCUGAGCUCCUUAUACAAACCACGCACAGGCAAUGCACCCUUUGCUGUAGGUGUCGCAAAGGAGGGUCUGCCGGAAUCUGCUCCAGAGCCGUCUCCCUGAGCUCACCCCAGGCUUUCUCCACCUGCUGGCUUCUGCCUCUCUCCCUCCUGCCCUGCCUUCUCUUCCUCUCCUCUCUUUUCAGGAGCAAGACAUCAACAUUUUGCCUUCUGCCUCCCGCAGCGUACCUCAUUUUUUUGAACCAAGCCAGGCUCUUCCCGGGAUUGUAGUGAAUGCGAGUUUGCUUCAUCUAGUUGCAUCCACGGGUCUGUGUGAUAUUUCAGGGCUGGUACCAUGUCCCUGCGCACUGUUGUAUCCCCAGCCCCCAGCCCAGUAUUUGGCCCCCACUAGGCAUUUGGUAAAUAUGUAGCAAGUAAAAAUGAGUGGGACGGGGCUACCGAGGAAGGGGACUGAGAAAGUUGCUUUCUGUGGCUGUCUGGGGCCUCUUGCUCUUGGAGGUCAGUUCUGUGGCAGAGGGACUAAUUCAGGACGAGGCUGAAGCUGAUGUGUGUCCGUCUCAGGCCCCAGAAACGACACAGUGCUAACACAUUCUUGGCUCCUCCGAGGGCCGUGUGAACAGUAACACUCGGGGGUCCUUCUUUAGGGUCUAACACAUCGGCCUGUCCUGAGGGGUACAAAGGGCAACAAAGAAACAGGGCAGGGGCUCCCAGGACAGGCUUCCCAUCAGACUCCCUGGGACUUUACUCCCCGUAAAGUAUUUAACCACCAGAGCCACCUGGGCCUCACACCUCCUUCCCAAGACCUGAUUCAAAUGUCUGAUGUGGGACGUGGUGAUUGAUUUAUUAAAAGUCCUAGGUGAUUCCAAUAUACCUCCCUGACACAGAGAAAAGAACUGUGUUUCUUUUUUUGUUUUUAAACUAAUCUGUCUGUAAUGCCUGUGAGGUUUCCACAUCGGGCCCCCUGAGGAGCAGGCUGUCGGUAGGCCGGUGGUUCAGGGUGAGGGCCUGGCCAGAUGGGAGAGAGGAAGGGACGUGGGCUUUGCAGGCAUUGGAGAACUUGGGUUUGAACCCUGUCCUCCACCAUCCCAGCUCUGUGGCCUUGGGCAAGUCACUUCAGCUGUGUGCAUGUCGGUGUCCUCUGUUAACUGACAGAAUUCCUACUGCACAGGUUGGCUGGGAUCAAUCGCCUAACACAGGGUCCAGCCUAGAGCCGGUGCUCCAUAAAGUGUGGUUCCGUUACCUUCCUGACCAAGCUACGGGGUGGGAGGGGAGGUCACGUGGGGCCCCCAGCCUGGCUCAGUACCUGACGGGAAGAACCCCGGCCUGGGAGAAAUUUCUAGUGCUGACCCAUCAUGAUAUGUGACCUUGGCCAAGUCCGCCUCGGUGACCCCAUUCAGCUCUGACCCGGGAGACAGGUGAGGGCUGACAUUUAAGGGGGUGAAUAGAUCUGUUUCAGCCAAUUCUCUGGGGCAGAUCACUCAACCUCUCUGAGCCUCAGUUUCCUCACCUGUGAACAGAGAUCCAACAGUGUGCACAUCUCACUGCAACUCUGUUUGGUGACGUCAUGUUGCUAGCUUAGAGUGGGCCAUGGUGGGAGUAUUGACACCACGUAAAUUGGCAAACAUUACAAAUCAGGAUUUCCUCGGCCUCCCCUUCCAUCCCCACUCUGCCCCUGACAGUCAGUUCACCAGCACAUCGGCCACCGGGACUCCGAUAAAUCAACUUUCACCAUGGUUGUUGGGAGAUUCAGAGAACUAUUGCCUGUUAAGCAAUUAGCACAGCACCUGGGACUUAGCACAGCACCUGGGCACUAAUAUGUGCUAGUCACACACACUUAAAAUUUAUCAGCUAUCACUUUGUCUCCGGCCUGAUAAAUGGUGAUCACAUGUGUGAUCUCAUAUAGCUUUAACAACCCUAGGAAAUAUCUAGAAGAGGAAAUUCAGGCUCAGACAGGCUCGGUGACUUCAAAUGCAAUUAGAUUUUACAGGCCUACUAUGUGCUGAGUUUAUUUUUACAUACCCAUCUCAGUUCAGCCUCACCAACCCCUUUUUCUCACUACAGUUGAAAGGCCCAGAAUGGGCAAGCGACCCGCCCAAGGUCCCACGUUGCGCACGGGGCCUUGUAUCUGUCUUGAACCUACAUGCACGGGUCUCCGCUUCUGCCCGGCUCCCUCCGAACCACAUCCAGCCGCAUUCUCUUCUGAAUCAGGAUGCUGGUAGCACGUCCUCCUCACUUGCGACACUCGAAGAUGUCUCUGAACAUUGCCAUAUGUCCCCUCGGGGGCAAAAUCCCCCUCCGCCCCGGUGAGAGCCCGUGCUUUAGGGUCUGUGUUUACUAGGCUGUUCCUCUCCUCUGCUGCCAGUGUCUUUGAGGAUAAGGAUCAAAAUCUUUCUCCCCACCGAGAGAGGCAGUUCUGGAACCAAAGCCAGGCCAGGUGAGAGCACACCAGCUGUGUGACCUUGGGCUAGUUCUCAGCCUCUCCGUGCCCCGGUUUCCCUAUCUGUAAAAUGAGCCCUCGCCCCCACAAAAGGUGAUCUUGAGGUUUAAAUGAGUUAGCGUAUGUGAAGCAUUCGGAGCAGUGCCUGGCACACACAGUGUGAGCCCUCACGACAGUCCAGGGGCCCGCGUGACCAAGUCCCAGCCCAUGCCUGUUCUCCCCAUCAGAAAGGGGAGAAGGACCCCAGCUCCUGCUAGGGAGCUCCACAACAACUUCUGCUGUUCCCUGUCCUCCCCUCGCACUCCCCCUCCUGCCAGCCUUGGAGAUGCUGGAGAAAACAGCGACGAGGACGGCCACAUAGUCCCACAGGAUCACAAGGCACUAAGAACAAAAACUGCCUCUUCCUCUUUCCCUGCAGUGCUGGCGGUGCACAGAGAGGCGUGUGGAGGCCCGCGCCUGAUUUAAAAAAGCAUCCGAUUAAAAUACAAUUCCUUUUAUUAUCCAGUAAACUAUAAAAAUACAUAUAAAGAAACACAUUUUGUCACUGGAGUUGGUCGGCACAUUUUACUGGUCAUUAGCGUGUGUUUUGUUACACUGACGUCUGUUAAAAACAAGGUUCCAGAAUGCUGUCCUCCUUUGGGUGCUUGGGAGAAAUAGUAUCUCAAAGGCAUUCCAGGGUGUCCUUACAGGAACAGCUCCCAGUGCAGGAGCAUACGUGGGCGUGGCUUAAAUCUUCCCUUUCUUUAGAAGGAAGGGUCCCUAGACAUUACCAGGUCUAGUCUUCUCCUAGUGGAGGAAUCUGAGGCCCAGGACCGUCCUUUGUCCAAGAUCAGAGAACAACUUGUUCAGCAACCGUUUUCCGAGUGUAUUAGUGAGCCCCAGCUGCUGUAAUAGAUAGGCCCUCAACCUCAGUGGCACAAUGGAGUUGUCUUUCUUGCUCACAUGGCAGGUGUUCUGGUUAAUGAAUGAGCCUUCUAGAUGGUGACUCAUGGACCCAGGUUCCUUACUUGUGGCUGUGCCCUCCUCUAGGGCCUCAGAAUCAUCUGCUUUCAGCUGGAUGGGGAAAGAAUUCUGAAGAUUGCACAUUUUUACAGAUUUUUACAGGUUUUUUUUAAUUAAAAAAUUUUUUUAAUGCUUACCUAUUUUGGG